ACAUCCAUGCACGAAGCAACUUUCAUAGGAAUGAAUCCGACUUUGUAUCCAGUUCUCUUUAUACAUCCAUGCUGUGGAUACCUGAGGGAGAUCACUCGUACCUGCUCUGCUCAAGCACAGCUCAAUAUUAAAUGAGCAUCGGCUAGAGGAAGACGCUAUCUUUGGCUCUCUCCCUUAUUAAUCCACAGGCGUGGGUGAAGGACUUUCGGAUGGAGCGGUCCGGUGCCCAUUCUGGCCUGCAUGACUUCACAUAAUGCCCUGCUCAUUGGUAUUGAAGAGUAAGAACCACACCAGCAUUUAUCGGGUCAAAACUGCAAACUGAUGUCAGUGGUGCACUUUUCCCUGCCCCCCUCCCCCCCCAAAAAAAGUGAAAUCACAUCCUGUGACAUAGUCUGCAGCUCACUGGUUCACCAUCGUCACAAGCACAUUGCUUAACAUUUCUGUCAACAUCCACCUCCAGCAAGACAGCAACACCUGCCCAUCAUGAAGAUGACAUGUCACCCCCUACCUCAUGCAGCAGUAUCACCACCACUAAAAAAGUAAUCCAGUGUAACUGACAUGAAUCCAUGCUGACCACAGCUGCUGUGCUCCACAAAGGACACAUCACCUAACUCUGUACAGCCACCUCUCAAGCCUGCAGCAUUGUGGACCUGAUGCACCUGUAACCACACCCACCAAUGAUGUCAUGGUGUACUGACACGUCCUGGAGUACCCUUCUACAUCACUGCUGCGAGGUGAUCUGAACUGCAUUUUUAAUAUCAUCAAAUACGGCUGGAACAGUACAAGAGCUGAUAUUAUACAUUACAACAUUAUGCUUAAGAGAGUUGACAAAUGAGAUCUUUCAAUACAAAAAUACCACGCUGACAGACACAUCCAAAAAAGAAAUAUGGUUCUUGUUCAAGUCUCUUUUAUAUUGAUAAUUGUCUUUCUUUUUCUCUUCUAUGAUCAACAAAGCCAAGUCAGUAUGUGUUGAAAAUGGCUUUUCAAAUUGAUCCUGUAUUGUAUCACCCAGACCAAAGAGAUAUUUCUUAAUUUGUAAUCAGUAGUCAUUAUAUGAUAAUACUGUAUAUCUUAAUGUGGUUCUUUGAACAAUUGAUAGUCUGGUCCACAACAAGAAAAGAUGCUUCUAAAGCUCCUACAACUGAUCUAAUGCCACCACCCAAAACAGGAGAGCAGUUAAUGCUGUGGAUGCUUGUGGUUACAUGGUUAAUGAAAGUAGCUAGUGUAAAGUUAGGUACUAACAGUUGUUGUGUAUGCCUGAGUGUUGGAUUCCAACAGUGACAAUAUAUCACAUAGAGCAUUUCCGUCGAUAUCUUGUGGUAUAUCUGCCAUCGUCUUCCAGCUAUACACAGCUUACACCGCUAGCAAGCUACAUGGAUAGCAGAAUAACUUUGGAUAUUGGAAGCGCCUGGCCCCUCACUUGGAUGUAAGCCUGAUAAAGAUGAGGAAAUGUAGAGUGUAGUGUUUUGUGUUUCUCAAAACGAGAACCGCAUUUAACACAUUUGUUGCACAAAAGCAAACAACAGUCCCUUAACAGCCAAAAUGUCACCGUAUGUGAAUUUAAAACUACACUGAAUUCUGUAACCGGAGUAAUGUAGUGUAUUGUGCGCAAAGCAGAACCAGAUUCCAAUGUGUCCCAAGCCCCUUAGGAUUGCUGUAAAGUGAUCCAAUAGAUUUCCUGCCAAACCUGCAUAGUGGCAAAAUGCAGUGAAGAGGCUAUCCCGCAAUCGUCUUCUGUUUACAGCAAUUAGACUAACGCCACUGAACUAAUGUGGUAAUGAUUCGUUGAGGGUAAAAUGCAACAUCUGUCGCCUUUAAGAGGCUCUAAAUAGAGGAGGGGUGAAGAGCGGUGGAGUGAGGACGCAGCAGGCACCACUUUCUCAGCCACACUGACCUCCGGCAGAGAUGAAUGAACAAGCAUCUGUGUGCAGAGCAGGUGACAGGUCCUCCAGCUUGAUAAUGCCAGUGGCCAGGUGAUUAAAAACACAGCUCCCCUGCCACCAGGGCUGCUGGUGGAUGUGACUGGGGGCCCGGGGACACGUCACUCUUCAUGUUGGCACAGCCAAGGUGCUGCAGCCAGUAAUUAAUUAGAAAAUGGAAUCAAGAAGCUGCCCAAAGAGGAAAAGGAUGCUUUCUCUGGGUGUUUAUUUAACAUUGGAGCUUGACUGAUGUGAUUGUAUUUAAUUGUAAUUUUUUUUCUAAUGGCAACUGUCGAUCUGCUGGUAAAUGUGCUUCAUUCACAGAGAAUGGAGCCGAUACAAGGCAGAAAUGCAACAAUGUGUCGUUAUCUGCAGAGCACAAGAACACGAUGGUAUAGUCAGCACUGUUACCAUACUGUACAUUGUUGUCUGUCAGAAUAUGAAUUAUACAUUUAUGGCCAUUCUGCAGUCAGACAAUGCAAUAGUGAAAUGUCUGGGGGAUCUUUUAACUCCAACUUUUCUGCAUGACAAUGAGAAACUGCAUUUGAAGGGUCAGGACAAUUCAAAACAAGAAAUUCUCAAAGUAGGCUGAACAACAGCAUCGAGCUUUUCUCCUGGGAGCCCCCCACCCACAGCCUCUGGUAAAACAGGUACUCAGAUCCUAACUUAAGCAAAGAUAUGGUGGUAAUACAGUUUUAAAAAAAUCUGCAUUACAAGUCCUGCUGUCAAAAGUCAAAGUAGUAGAUAGUAGUGUAUAUAUACACACA